ensembl:lincRNA Gm15137 predicted gene 15137
GAGGCUGCUUAAGAGCAGUGCAGGGACAGAGAGUUCAAUUACAUUCAGUUCAGUUUGGUGCAGUCAGUUGAGUGUCAUUGUGCGCAGUUCAGUUCAGAGGAGAGCAGUUGAGUUCAUUACUGCUCAGCUUGAAGAGGAGUUUGAGCCAGAACAGUUGAGUUGAACCAGCCAGGCAGAGUUCAGAAAGAAGUAGAAAGACUGAGUUUAUUUAGCAAGUUUCAGAGGCUGAAACAUUCUAGGCAGAUGGAGGCUGGAAGCUGAAGCCUUCAAGGUCCAGACUUGCAGAAGAUCAGGAUGGAAACACUGUGGGCUCAUCUCAUCUUUUCAUCUGCUUCAGAUCUCCUGGUGCUCUGCAGACAUUUCCCUCUUGAAUCUAAACUGGAUCCUGAGUAAGCUUUUCUCAACAGCUUUUCCAUGGGAUCCUGACACGGUUUUAAAGGAGAAGUCUCAACAAGGACUUAGGAAAGUCAGGUAACAGCCACUGAGACAAGCUUGCUAAGCACUUUAGAGGCCAGGCGUCCUUCCACGC